rnacentral:rRNA from 1 species
CAGCAGUAGGGAAUAUUGCUCAAUGGGCGAAAGCCUGAAGCAGCAACGCCGCGUGGAGGAUGACACUUUUCGGAGCGUAAACUCCUUUUCUUAGGGAAGAAUAAUGACGGUACCUAAGGAAUAAGCACCGGCUAACUCCGUGCCAGCAGCCGCGGUAAUACGGAGGGUGCAAGCGUUACUCGGAAUCACUGGGCGUAAAGGACGCGUAGGCGGAUUAUCAAGUCUUUUGUGAAAUCUAAUGGCUUAACCAUUAAACUGCUUGAGAAACUGAUAAUCUAGAGUGAGGGAGAGGCAGAUGGAAUUGGUGGUGUAGGGGUAAAAUCCGUAGAGAUCACCAAGAAUACACAUUGCGAAGGCGAUCUGCUAGAACUCAACUGACGCUAAUGCGUGAAAGCGUGGGGAGCAAACAGGAUUAGA